ensembl:lncRNA
CUAUACCUACGGUACCGAUGCAAGACCCAUUCCUCCUCAGCCCUCCCCUCUGCUACAUCAACCUCACGGCCUCUUUUCAGAUCGCCUGGCUCCUUUCCUCCAUCAGUGGGAGUCUAUUACUUCGGAUGCCUGGGUUCUCCGAAUUGUUCGAGACGGUUAUGCCUUGGAGUUCGAAGAGCUCCCGCCCACAGGGCAAAUCCUCCUAUCCAACCCCUCUCAGGAAAUUCUCGCCGAAAUCGACACCCUCCUUGCCAAAGGGGCUAUUCGGCCUUCUCCAUCGGUACAGGACCCUCAAAACUUUUUCUCCAGGUACUUCACGGUCCCGAAGAGGGGAGGGGGGCUCCGCCCCAUUUUGGACUUGCGCGUGCUCAAUACGUUCAUACGCCCUACAAAAUUCAGGAUGGUAUCCAUCGCUUCCAUUCUCCCUAUGCUUCAACGAGGGGACUACUUUGUCUCCAUAGAUUUACGAGACGCUUAUUUCCACGUGGCGAUUCAGGAAAGCCACAGGCGCUUCCUUUGCUUCAAAGUCCUCGACCAAACCUACCAGUUCACCGUUUUACCCUUCGGCCUCGUCACAGCCCCAAGGGUUUUCACCAAAGUCGUCGCUGUCGUGGCUGCCCACCUCAGACUCCAAGGAAUUACAGUCUUUCCAUAUCUGGACGACUGGCUUCUGGUCGGGCCCGACCCUGUCCGCCUCCGUCGUCACGUCGACGUCACCCUCAAUCUUCUCGACUCUCUCGGUCUCCAGUUGAAUCUCGACAAAUCUCACCUUGUCCCGUCGAACAAGAUCCGCUUCAUCGGCGCCCUGUUCAACUCACUCUCUCAAACUGUCUCCCUCCCGCUCGACAGGUUUCUCGCUCUCCGACACCAAAUCUCCCUCUGCGAAACCAGCCGGAGGAUUCGAGCCCGGUCCAUCCAAGUACUCCUGGGUCACAUGGCCUCCACAGUCCUUACGACCCCGUUUGCCAGGCUCCAUCUUCGCACUCUGCAGCGUUGGUUCAUAGACGUCUUCAAACCAUCCCACCACCUCAACUCGAGGUUUCUCUCCAUCCCGCUCCAUGUUCAUCGGUCGCUCCGCUGGUGGAAGUCCCUCUCCAACGUUUGCAGGGGACUCCCGUUUCACCAACCUCCUCCUUCGAUCACCGUAACCACGGACUCCUCCAAUUACGGCUGGGGAGCUCACCUGGGCAGUCUCACCAUACAAGGCCUUUGGUCUCGCUCCGAAAGGGCCAAUCACAUAAACUUUCUCGAACUUCUCACCAUCUUCAAAGCUCUGAAAGCCUUCUCCCACCUGAUCUCCCAGAAGUCUGUCCUCGUUCAAUCAGACAACACAGUGGCAGUCUUCUACAUCAACAAGCAGGGUGGCACGGGUUCGAGGAAGCUCAUGCUCCUUUCCUCUCAGCUGUGGUCCUGGUGCAUAAGCCGCAAUGUGCAGAUCCUGGCAGUUCACCUUCCCGGGAUCCAAAACGACUUGGCGGACGCCCUCAGCAGAAUGACGAGUUCCUCCCACUAGUGGAUGCUCGAUCCCGAGACUCUUCUCUCUCUCUUCCGAAAGUGGGGAUUCCCCACUCUAGACCUUUUUGCCUCUCCCCAGAAUGCGCAACUACCUCGUUACGGCGCGAGACUUCCCCCGGCUUCUUUUCCGGGCUGUCUGGGAGACGCCUUCCUUCUGAACUGGUCGUCGGAACCGAUCUACCUCUUUCCGCCGUUCCCCCUGAUACCGAAAGUCCUCCAGAAACUCCGGUCGAUUUCGACGUCGGCGAUCCUAAUAGCACCAGCUUGGCCUUGACAGCCUUGGUUUCCGGCUCUUCUCCACCUCUCCAGAAUGAACUUUCUCACUCUACCUCUUCUACCACACCUCUUGUCGAGGGAAAACGGCCAGAUCCUGCAUCCGGAUCUUCCCUCUCUACAUCUCACUGCUUGGAGAAUUCUCGCCUAGCCUCCCUCCCGCAAAGCCUGCAGGAGAUCCUCCAGGCGGCCCACAAGCCGGCUAUGACAAGGUCAUACACUUAUAAAAUCUCCCGCUUCCGUGCCUUUCUCCGGUCCCGGGACAUCGCUGUUUUUCCGGCCUCGGUGCCGAUAGUAUUGGACUUUCUUAUGAAUCUUGUGGAUCAAAAACUGUCGCUCUCUUCUAUGAAGUCCUAUCUGGCUGCUCUUUCCUGGUGUUUCCAACAACAUGGUAGACCAUCUUUAUUCUCUGACCAUCUUGUGAAAACCUUCUUAAAAGGGUACAACAACAUCCAUCCGCCCUCCCAGCCACCCACGCCGGGCUGGAACCUCGAGCUCGUGCUCUCCCAGCUGACUACCCCUCCUUUCGAGCCUCUAGCGUCUACGACCUGCGUCUACUUUCUUGGAAAGUAG